ACGGGGUGCAGCAGGCGCGAAAACUUCACAAUGUGCGAAAGCGCGAUGAGGGAAUCCCAAGUGCUUGCUCGUAAGAGUAAGCUGUUUUUAUGUUUAAAACGCAUAGAGAGUAAGAGCUGGGUAAGACGGGUGCCAGCCGCCGCGGUAAUACCUGCAGCUCGAGUGGUGGCCGCUAUUAUUGGGCCUAAAACGUCCGUAGCCGGUUUAUUAAAUGCCUGGGUAAAUCGUGUAGCUUAACUAUACGAAUUCCGGGUAGACUGUUAAACUUGAGACCGGGAGAAGCUAGAGGUACUCCUGGGGUAGAGGUGAAAUUCUGUAAUCCUAGGGGGACCACCAGUGGCGAAGGCGUCUAGCUAGAACGGGUUUGACGGUGAGGGACGAAACCCUGGGGCGCAAACCGGAUUAGAUACCCGGGUAGUCCAGGGUGUAAACGCUGCUUGCUUGAUGUUAGUCGGGCUCCGAGCCCGAUUAGUGUCGGAGAGAAGUUGUUAAGCAAGCUGCCUGGAAGUACGUCGCAAGAC
rnacentral:rRNA from 1 species